UAGGGAAUCUUCGGCAAUGGGGGGAACCCUGACCGAGCAACGCCACGUGAGUGAAGAAGGUUUUCGGAUCGUAAAGCUCUGUUGUUAAGGAAGAACGAGUGUGAGAAUGGAAAGUUCAUGCUGUGACGGUACUUAACCAGAAAGGGACGGCUAACUACGUGCCAGCAGCCGCGGUAAUACGUAGGUCCCGAGCGUUGUCCGGAUUUAUUGGGCGUAAAGCGAGCGCAGGCGGUUAGAAAAGUCUGAAGUGAAAGGCAGUGGCUCAACCAUUGUAGGCUUUGGAAACUGUUUAACUUGAGUGCAGAAGGGGAGAGUGGAAUUCCAUGUGUAGCGGUGAAAUGCGUAGAUAUAUGGAGGAACACCAGUGGCGAAGGCGACUUUCUGGUCUGUAACUGACGCUGAUGUGCGAAAGCGUGGGAAUCAAACAGG
rnacentral:rRNA from 1 species